rnacentral:rRNA from 1 species
CAGCAGCCACGGGAAUACGAAGGGGGCUAGCGUUGUUCGGAUUUACUGGGCGUAAAGGGCGCGUAGGCGGACUGAUAAGUCAGGGGUGAAAUCCCAAGGCUCAACCUUGGAACUGCCUUUGAUACUGUUUGUCUUGAGUUCGGGAGAGGUAAGUGGAACUGCGAGUGUAGAGGUGAAAUUCGUAGAUAUUCGCAAGAACACCAGUGGCGAAGGCGGCUUACUGGCUCGAUACUGACGCUGAGGCGCGAAAGCGUGGGGAGCAAACAGGAUUAGAUACCCCGGUAGUCCCUGUCUCUUAUAC